UUAAAUUGAGAGUUUGAUCCUGGCUCAGGACGAACGCUGGCGGCGUGCCUAACACAUGCAAGUCGAGCGAUGAAACUUCCUUCGGGAAGUGGAUUAGCGGCAGACGGGUGAGUAACACGUGGGUAACCUGCCUCAAAGAGUGGGAUAGCCUCCCGAAAGGGAGAUUAAUACCGCAUAACAUUAUUUUAUGGCAUCAUAAAAUAAUCAAAGGAGCAAUCCGCUUUGAGAUGGACCCGCGGCGCAUUAGCUAGUUGGUGAGGUAACGGCUCACCAAGGCAACGAUGCGUAGCCGACCUGAGAGGGUGAUCGGCCACAUUGGAACUGAGACACGGUCCAGACUCCUACGGGAGGCAGCAGUGGGGAAUAUUGCGCAAUGGGGGAAACCCUGACGCAGCAACGCCGCGUGAGUGAUGAAGGUUUUCGGAUCGUAAAACUCUGUCUUUAGGGACGAUAAUGACGGUACCUAAGGAGGAAGCCACGGCUAAC
rnacentral:rRNA from 1 species